rnacentral:lncRNA from 1 species
UUAUCUCAUCUUCUCAUCUCUUAUCUCUCAUCGCGGUGCUAUUGAUUUUUGUCCAGCGAUAUUUCGGUCAAAUAUUGGAAUGCGUUAAAAAAAAAAGGAGUGAUGGUGAAUGGUCGGGAUCGAGGAGAUAAACUGGGCAGAGGUCAAACUAUGACCGCAUCAGUAAUUCGAUAACUGACACGUGUUCGGUACCGGCUGGGUUAUGAAGGAUGGUGAAGUUUUUACUGUACUGCCUUUCGCCGGUGACAUUUACAGCCAUAACUGUACUGUGGUCGUACCACUACAAGCACACAAGCCUUUGAAUAAAUAAAAGAAGGGAAAUGGCUGUGGGGCAUCUUCAGUAAUCUCGUGAGUCAUACACGUGCUGCCUCGUGUUUUGUUUGCUUCAUUUAUUUAUUUUACUUUUUAGGUGAUCCUAUUAUCUUUCUAUGAUUCACCUAAAGCUUUUAGCGUAUCAAAGUCAAGCUGGCUUCUGUAUAUGAAAACGAAUCUCGCUUCACUGAAAGUUUGAGAUUGUGUUAAUUGCAAGUUUGAAUUUCAAAACGUUCUAAGAGAAUUACGAGUUUGAUCUUGUCUGCGGUAAGGUAAUCUGGUAUUUAAUGGGAAUAACAUAAGUAUAUAUACAUCGAUUAUAAUUAAAAUAUUUUGUGCAGAUCGGAUUCAACGAGAUACCAUUACCAAUGGUAAUCUCUUCGUAUUUGCAGACUCGCGUGUAUGAGAUGAAGAUGCAAGCGAUGUAUAUCAGGUGAUGAUCGAUCAUGAUUUACUUCAAACUAAAAAUGGAGAAUUCUACGAAAUAGAUGGAUGUUUAUCUUCGUUGCAAAUUUGCUAUCGCAACCCCAAUGCAACAUCGAAAUUAUAAUUAUGUUGAUUUUUUUUUUCAUUUCACACAUCCCGACUCCAUCACAGCCACGCAUGCAUAAACAAACAGAAAGAUCUUACUUUGCAAUUGAAUAAUCUAUUUGUAUUUGGAAAUAUCAUUUUUAUCCCUAAAGAGCGUGUUUUUCUUAUGUUAUUUUAACACUAAGAAU